AAUUUUGGACAAUGGGGGAAACCCUGAUCCAGCCAUCCCGCGUGUAUGAUGAAGGCCUUCGGGUUGUAAAGUACUUUUGGCAGAGAAGAAAAGGCAUUCCCUAAUACGGGAUGCUGCUGACGGUAUCUGCCGACUAAGCACCGGCUCACUACGUCCCAGCCGUCGCGGUAAUACGUAGGGAUCAAGCGUUAAUCGGAAUUACUGGGCGUAAAGCGUGUGUAGGCGGUUCGGAAAGAAGGAUGUGAAAUCCCAGGGCUCAACCUUGGAACUGCAUUCUUAACUACCGAACUAGAGUAUGUCAGAGGGGGGUAGAAUUCCGCGUGUAGCAGUGAAAUGCGUAGAUAUGCGGAGGAAUACCGAUGGCGAAGGCAGCCCCCUGGGAUAAUACUGACGCUCAUGCACGAAAGCGUGGGUAGCAAACAGG
rnacentral:rRNA from 1 species